UAGGGAAUCUUCGGCAAUGGGCGAAAGCCUGACCGAGCAACGCCGCGUGAAUGAUGAAAGCCUUCGGGUUGUAAAAUUCUGUUAUAAGGGAAGAACGACUUUAGUAGGAAAUGGCUAGAGUGUGACGGUACCUUAUGAGAAAGCCACGGCUAACUACGUGCCAGCAGCCGCGGUAAUACGUAGGUGGCGAGCGUUAUCCGGAAUUAUUGGGCGUAAAGAGCGCGCAGGUGGUUGAUUAAGUCUGAUGUGAAAGCCCACGGCUUAACCGUGGAGGGUCAUUGGAAACUGGUCGACUUGAGU
rnacentral:rRNA from 1 species